rnacentral:rRNA from 1 species
CAGCCGCCACGGUAAAACGUAGGUGGCAAGCGUUGUCCGGAAUUAUUGGGCGUAAAGGGCUCGCAGGCGGUUUCUUAAGUCUGAUGUGAAAGCCCCCGGCUCAACCGGGGAGGGUCAUUGGAAACUGGGAAACUUGAGUGCAGAAGAGGAGAGUGGAAUUCCACGUGUAGCGGUGAAAUGCGUAGAGAUGUGGAGGAACACCAGUGGCGAAGGCGACUCUCUGGUCUGUAACUGACGCUGAGGAGCGAAAGCGUGGGGAGCGAACAGGAUUAGAUACCCGCGUAGUCCCUGUCUCUUAUAC